AUUGAACGCUGGCGGCAGGCCUAACACAUGCAAGUCGAGCGGAUGAAGGGAGCUUGCUCCUGGAUUCAGUGGCGGACGGGUGAGUAAUGCCUAGGAAUCUGCCUGGUAGUGGGGGAUAACGUCCGGAAACGGGCGCUAAUACCGCAUACGUCCUGAGGGAGAAAGUGGGGGAUCUUCGGACCUCACGCUAUCAGAUGAGCCUAGGUCGGAUUAGCUAGUUGGUGGGGUAAAGGCCUACCAAGGCGACGAUCCGUAACUGGUCUGAGAGGAUGAUCAGUCACACUGGAACUGAGACACGGUCCAGACUCCUACGGGAGGCAGCAGUGGGGAAUAUUGGACAAUGGGCGAAAGCCUGAUCCAGCCAUGCCGCGUGUGUGAAGAAGGUCUUCGGAUUGUAAAGCACUUUAAGUUGGGAGGAAGAGCAGUAAGUUAAUACCUUGCUGUUUUGACGUUACCAACAGAAUAAGCACCGGCUAACUUCGUG
rnacentral:rRNA from 1 species